GAAUUUCUCCGCAUGGCUUCCAGAGAAGUGACCAUUACAGUACGCCUCAUUCGUUCUUUUGAGCAUCGCAAUUUCAAACCUAUAGUGUAUCAUGGAGUUAAUUUGGACCAAACUACAAAGGAAUUUAUAGUAUUUCUAAAGCAAGAUAUUCCUUUGAGGACCAGCCUGCCACCACCAUUCAGAAAUUAUAAAUACGAUAAACUAAAGAUUGUUCAUCAAGCACAUAAAUCAAAGACAAAUGAGCUUGUGUUGAGUUUGGAAGAUGAUGACAGACUCAUGCUGAAGGAAGACAGCACGCUGCGAGCCGCUGGAAUCGCUCAUGAAACUGAAAUUGCAUUCUUCUGUGAAGAAGAUUAUAAGAACUACAAAGCUAAUCCCAUUUCAUCCUGGUGAAAACCCUUUGGGGGCUCCCUUUUUGCAUACCUGUCUUAAGCUCUUUAUCCCACUACCCACACAAAUAACACGACUGAUUUCCCACCCCCCGAGCUGUGUUUCCUUACUUCAGGAGCAAACUAUAAUAGAACCAAACUCAUUUCUUUGGAGAGAAAAGGUAGCAGGAUGUUUGCACUUCUGGAAGAAAAUUUUUCGCUGAGAACAAGUCUAAGACAUGGAAGGUACAUUUUUUUUCAAAAUAAUAUAAUACUCUGGGUUCCCUAUAAUGGCUACUACCAGUUCCUAAAGAGUCCUGAUUUCAAAGGGGCCUCUCGGACAGCAUGUGGAUCUAAUGAGAACUCCUACGAAGUUAGUUGGCCCUAGAAUUAUUCCAAGAACCCUCAAAAUUGCUAGUAGGACAAAUUGGUUUCAUUGUGGUAGAGGCCAACUUAAAAAAAAAAAAAUCAGCUUUGAAAGUCUGAUUAACAUAAUCAAAAUAUGGUUUUUUUGGGGCUUGUUGAAAGAUUUAGUAUAGUAGAGCCUUAUUUAAAAGAGAAAGUUUAUUCAUGGUUUCAUUCAUUAAAAAAGGGCUGAAUGGACCAAUGACCCAGGCUCCCGAGGAGUGAAUAAACACUGAAAUAAGACACAGUUUUUGCCUCAGCAAGUGGGGAAAGAUAUUUAAGCAAGUAAUUUUAAUAUAGUAACAGUGGAAGCUGCCAUGGGAACAAUGGAUGAUGGGAUAGUUAAUUCUAUAUUCUGUGCAGGCUUAGUUUUUAUUUUUAUUUAUUUGUUUUUUUUUUAAAGUUUAUUUUGAGAGAGAAGAGA